rnacentral:rRNA from 1 species
UACGUAGGGUGCAAGCGUUGUCCGGAUUUAUUGGGUUUAAAGGGUGCGUAGGCGGGCUAUUAAGUCAGUGGUGAAAUCCAGCAGCUUAACUGUUGAUGUGCCAUUGAUACUGGUAGCCUUGAGUACAGAUGAGGUAGGCGGAAUUGACAGUGUAGCGGUGAAAUGCAUAGAUAUUGUCAAGAACUCCGAUAGCGAAGGCAGCUUACUGGGCUGUAACUGACGCUGAUGCACGACAGUGUGGGGAUCAAACAGG